UACGUAGGGGGCUAGCGUUGUCCGGAAUCAUUGGGCGUAAAGCGCGCGUAGGCGGUCAGGUAAGUCCGGUGUGAAAGUCAAAGGCUCAACCUUUGAAUGCCGCUGGAUACUGCCUGACUUGAGUCCGGAAGGGGCGAGUGGAAUUCCCGGUGUAGCGGUGAAAUGCGCAGAUAUCAGGAGGAACACCGGUGGCGAAGGCGGCAUCCUGGACCGGUAUUGACGCUGAGGCGCGAAAGCCAGGGGAGCAAACGGGG
rnacentral:rRNA from 1 species